UGGACUGGAUGUCUCUGGGUCUCCCUGUGGUACCUUUGGGUCCCUGCGAGCUAGAGACCUGAGGCGUCCUGUGGACGACCUGACCCAAUGUCUCCAGGGUCGGGAAGCGUCGCGGCCACGGGCUCCCCAGAGCCAGCAGCCGCGGGACACGGGCACACAACAGGAGAACAUGUUCGUCAGGCAAAGGUGUCCCAACGAAUGAGCCCAGUCGGGCGCUGUCUCCAGAAUAUUUCCCCAAUUUCCCGAGUGAUGAAAACCGUGACACUGCCUUUUGCUGUGUUCAUGGGUGGCUUUUGGACUCUACCUGAGAGGUAGGCUGGCUGCUGGGGGAGCCAACCCUGCGAUUGGAUGGCUGGAACUUUCCAUCCCCUGCCCCCACCUCUGGGGAGGGAGAGGGGCCGGAGACGGCGUUCAGUCCCCAGUGACCAGUGAUCCAAUCAAUCGUGCCCGUGUAAUGAAGCCUCCCCGAACGCCCAUCCGACUGGUGAACACGUGGAGAGAGCAGAGAGUGUGACAUACUCGGUUACUGUCACGGGGCCCGAGUGUGCACGGGCACUGGCUUCGAGGGUCCCAACAGACCAGGUUCGGCCACUCACCGCUGACAAAAGCCAAGGGCAGAGAGACACAGGAAAGGGUGGUGACUCAAGAAAGGAUCCAUUUCGGUGAGGCCGGCACCGGGAAGACAGGGGGCUGACAUCUCAAGGUGCUGCAGACAGUCCUGGUGGUGGUUCUCUCUCUUUUUCUUUCUUUUUUUAAUUU